rnacentral:rRNA from 1 species
AUGAAGUGCUCAAGAGGUAGCAAGGCCAAUGAAAUUUUUGCGCAUUAUAGGGUGGACGCUGGCAGUCCUCCCAUAGAAGCUAUCCUUUUUAAUCAAGAAGACAUAAUGCAUUUACGAUCUUUAGAUCAUGUUGCUUAUAAUGAAAACCUUAGAAAAAAGGUUCCUACCAAUGUUCUAGUUGAUAGAAUCUCUAAACUUAAUGAUGACUUUGCUAUUCAGAAUAAUGGGUUAGGAUUUCCUCUUGAACAUAGGCUCAUGACUUUUUUCCAAAAGAAUGUUUAUAUUGAUGAAUUGGUUGUGCAAUAUGAGGGGCCAAAGGGGGAACCAAUACCUCCCGAGCUUGAUCUUGGGGACUUUUGUCCCAUUAAAUUUAGCCCCUUUGAUUAUUUUUGCCUGCCGCAAAGAAAGCUUGUUGUUGAACGUAGGGAGUAUGAGAUGAGUUUUCGUGAUUUGCCCUAUCAUUAUGGCAAUACCUAG